rnacentral:rRNA from 1 species
GACGUAGGUCGCAAGCGUUGUCCGGAUUUAUUGGGCGUAAAGAGCUCGUAGGCGGCUCGGUGCGUCGGCUGUGAAAACCCGCAGCUCAACUGUGGGCUUGCAGCCGAUACGGGCGGGCUGGAGUUCGGUAGGGGAGACUGGAAUUCCUGGUGUAGCGGUGAAAUGCGCAGAUAUCAGGAGGAACACCGGUGGCGAAGGCGGGUCUCUGGGACGAUACUGACGCUGAGGAGCGAAAGCGUGGGGAGCAAACAGG